GAGGGUGUAGCUCAGUAGGUUAGAGCGCCAGGUUGUGGCCCUGGAGGUCGUGGGUUCAAAUCCCAUCACUCUCC
rnacentral:tRNA from 1 species